rnacentral:rRNA from 1 species
GACGAACGCUGGCGGCGUGCUUAACACAUGCAAGUCGAACGGAGUGGCGAACGGGUGAGUAACACGUGGGUGACCUGCCCUGCAAUUCGGGAUAAGCCUGGGACAAUGGGUCUAAUACCGGAUAGUGUGGGAUGGGCCCGGGGCCUAUCUGCUUGUUGGUGGGGUAAUGGCCUACCACGGCGGCGACGGGUAGCCGGCCUGGGAGGGUGGACGGCCACAGUGGGCCUGAGACACGGCCCAGACGCCUACGGGAGGCAGCAGUGGGGAGUAUUGCACAAUCGGCGGAAGCCUGAUGCAGCGACGCCGCGUGGGGGAUGACGGCCGUCGGGUUUUAAACUCCUUUUACCAUCGACGCGGUAGAUGGAGAAGAAGCACCGGCUAACUACGUGCCAGCAGCCGCGGUAAUUC